rnacentral:misc_RNA from 1 species
AAAACGCGAAAUGUGUUAUGAUGUGCAGUCUUUGUGAAUCAUGAAUCUUUGAACGCACCUUGCACCAGGCACGCUUUGUGGCUGGUAUGCCUGUUUGAGUGGGGGGACGAUGUGUACGAGAGUAUGAGAUGGGGCGUAGCCACGGCUUGCUCUGAAAAACUAAACUAGUAGUUCGCUUGGGAUAAUCAUCAAGUGAGCAAAACCUUUUACUUAACCUCCUCAAAUCAGGCAAGAACACCCGCUGAACUUAA